rnacentral:rRNA from 1 species
GACGAACGCUGGCGGCAGGCCUAAUACAUGCAAGUCGAACGGCAGCACAGCAGAGCUUGCUCUGUGGGUGGCGAGUGGCGGACGGGUGAGGAAUACAUGGGAAUCUGCCCAGUCGUGGGGGAUAACGUAGGGAAACUUACGCUAAUACCGCAUGCGCCCUUCGGGGGAAAGCCGGGGACCUUCGGGCCUGGCGCGAUUGGAUGAGCCCAUGUCGGAUUAGCUAGUUGGUGGGGUAAAAGCCCACCAAGGCGACGAUCCGUAGCUGGUCUGAGAGGAUGAUCAGCCACACUGGAACUGAGACACGGUCCAGACUCCUACGGGAGGCAG